rnacentral:rRNA from 1 species
GUAGACCCGUACGCGAAAGGAUCUUUGAAGUGAAAUCGAGUAGGACGGAGCACGAGAAACUUUGUCUGAACAUGGGGGGACCAUCCUCCAAGGCUAAAUACUACUGACUGACCGAUAGUGAACCAGUACCGUGAGGGAAAGGCGAAAAGAACCCCGGAGAGGGGAGUGAAAUAGAACCUGAAACCGUAUGCGUACAAGCAGUGGGAGCCUACUUGUUAGGUGACUGCGUACCUUUUGUAUAAUGGGUCAGCGACUUAUAUUCAGUGGCAAGCUUAACCGUAUAGGGUAGGCGUAGCGAAAGCGAGUCUUAAUAGGGCGUUUAGUCGCUGGGUAUAGACCCGAAACCGGGCGAUCUAUCCAUGAGCAGGUUGAAGGUUAGGUAACACUGACUGGAGGACCGAACCCACUCCCGUUGAAAAGGUAGGGGAUGACUUGUGGAUCGGAGUGAAAGGCUAAUCAAGCUCGGAGAUAGCUGGUUCUCCUCGAAAGCUAUUUAGGUAGCGCCUCAUGUAUCACUCUGGGGGGUAGAGCACUGUUUCGGCUAGGGGGUCAUCCCGACUUACCAAACCGAUGCAAACUCCGAAUACCCAGAAGUGCCGAGCAUGGGAGACACACGGCGGGUGCUAACGUCCGUCGUGAAAAGGGAAACAACCCAGACCGCCAGNUAAGGUCCCAAAGUUGUGGUUAAGUGGUAAACGAUGUGGGAAGGCUUAGACAGCUAGGAGGUUGGCUUAGAAGCAGCCAUCCUUUAAAGAAAGCGUAAUAGCUCACUAGUCGAGUCGGCCUGCGCGNAAGAUGUACGGGUCUAC